UGGGGAAUAUUGCACAAUGGGCGAAAGCCUGAUGCAGCAACGCCGCGUGAGCGAUGAAGGCCUUUGGGUCGUAAAGCUCUGUCCUUGGGGAAGAAACAAAUGACGGUACCCUUGGAGGAAGCCCCGGCUAACUACGUGCCAGCAGCCGCGGUAAUACGUAGGGGGCGAGCGUUAUCCGGAAUUAUUGGGCGUAAAGAGUGCGUAGGUGGCCAUGUAAGCGCGGGGUGAAAGGCAAUAGCUUAACUAUUGUAAGCCUUGCGAACUGUGUGGCUUGAGUGCAGGAGAGGAAAGUGGAAUUCCUAGUGUAGCGGUGAAAUGCGUAGAUAUUAGGAGGAACACCAGUGGCGAAGGCGACUUUCUGGACUGUAACUGACACUGAGGCACGAAAGCGUGGGGAGCAAACAG
rnacentral:rRNA from 1 species